GUUUAUUCAGAGCCGCUCCUUGGUGGGCACCCAGAUGUAAGGACCGGACUGCUCCUCGAUCACCUGCUUCACCUGCGUGUACACCUCCUCUAGAGUUGAGCCCUGGACUACAGCUGCAGGCAGACAGAUGGAGAGGAACAAUAACGUGUUCAGUUGCAUGUCGGAGCUGAGUGGCAGCUUGUGUUUGUGUGGAAGGAACUAACCGGUGAAGUACUCUGUGAACUCCUGCUCCAGUUUGACAGCUCUGUCAAAGGUCUUCCUCGCCUGCUCCUCGGUGAAACGCUUGUUCAUCUCUCUGGAGACACGGGGUGAGAGUUACAAUAUCAAGGAUGUUGUCGACGUUGCGUGGUCUAAUGAAGAUAGCGAUGGGAUGGAGGCCCGCCAGCUGGAGACGCUUUAUGGCGUUCCCUGAUACAUCCAGAAUACAGUGUUUACCCUGGGAGAGACACA